UACGUAGGCAGCGAGCGUUGUUCGGAAUUACUGGGCGUAAAGCGUGCGCAGGCGGUUCGUUGUGUCGGCGGUGAAAGCCCCGGGCUUAACCUGGGAAUGGCCGUUGAAACUGGCGAACUGGAGUGUGGCAGAGGGGGGUGGAAUUCCGCGUGUAGCAGUGAAAUGCGUAGAGAUGCGGAGGAACACCGAUGGCGAAGGCAGCCCCCUGGGCUGACACUGACGCUCAGGCACGAAAGCGUGGGGAGCAAACAGG
rnacentral:rRNA from 1 species